UUGCCCUCAGAAAGAGGUGGAUGACAGGCAGGCACUGGGGUGACAUGGCCAAAGGGGCCCGAACAUUCACUAUAUGCAUUCAUACGGAGAGACACAAGGCUGUCUCCGUAACUCCAAACCAGUGCAAACGACUUAGUGCAAAUUAGAUUCAAAAGGGGCGGGUAGGGAAACAGAGUCACGGACGCUUUGGGUCUCUCAAGCAAAGAAAAAACAAAAGGAAAGAAACAUAGGGCUGCAGGAAAGAACAGAAGGAAGAAAAAGACAGGAGGGAGAUGACGGUGAUGGAUCCAUCCCGGGGUAGAGGCUUGGCUCCGGAAUGAUGUGGGCGGUGGUCUCCCAGGCGAGGCAGAGUUGGCCAUGAAGAUGGAUUCUCAUGGGUGGGGGUGGGUGCUGUGGGUCUGCUCUUUCAAGGUGUUGACACGUCUGUUCCUUCAGCUUCACCUUCGAGCCGAUUCCUGAGGCAGGUAGUGUAGUGGUUCCAAGUACAACAUAUUCUUGAUUCAGAACUAGACGGACUUAAAGAAGUCCCCGGAUUCAAAGGCCCAGACAUGAGCUGGGUAGCACCAUUUCUUUCAUCUUGAGGGUUCAAGGUAGGGGAGAAGGAUCCAGAGAGCAGCAGAGAUGUGUUAGCUCGUUGGGAAAAGUAAAAGAACAGACGGCUUCUGUGGCAGA
rnacentral:antisense_RNA from 1 species